rnacentral:lncRNA from 1 species
UUGCUCACCACUGUAUCCUGGCAGGUAGUACUUGACUACCAACUGUCAUGCAUGACAUAGUGGUUACAAGCACUAGCUCUGUCGCUAGGCUGUCUAAAUUCGAACCCAGACUCCUGCCACUGAACACCUAACACCUUUAGCAGUUUCCUUAACCUCUCUUGCUUCACUUUUCUGAUGGGUAAAGUGGGUAGACUGUCUUUAUCUC